rnacentral:tRNA from 2 species
GGCCCCAUCGUCUAACGGUUAGGACGUCGGCUUUUCAAGCCGAAAACCGGGGUUCGAUUCCCCGUGGGGCUA